GUCUGGAAUUGGAAAAAUUGCAUAUGGGUGUAGAUUGGAAGCCAGCUAGGGCUGUUUUUCAAAAUCUGAACUGAUACCGCUCAACGAUAAUUGACGUUGAGCGCUACUUAUGCAGAUUGUGGAUUUUUGUGUUUUUCUGUGUGCAGGUGAGUCUGAGGGGCCCUGUUUUCCCUCACCGCUGAUAAACAAUGUGUUUGGACAAGGUUUU
rnacentral:lncRNA from 1 species